AUUGAACGCUGGCGGCAGGCUUAACACAUGCAAGUCGAACGAGUGGCGGACGGGUGAGUAAUGCUUGGGAAUCUAGCUUAUGGAGGGGGAUAACUACGGGAACCUGUAGCUGAUACCGCAUACCAUAGGAUGAGCCCAAGGGGGAUUAGGUAGUUGGUGAGGUAAAGGCUCACAAAGCCGACGAUCUCUAGCGUGUCUGAGAGGAUGACCAGCCACACUGAGACUGAGACUCGGCCCAGACUCCUACGUGUGGCAGCAGGGGGGAAUAUUGUGCAAUGGGUGCUACCUUACUCAUCCAUGCCGCGUGAAUGAAGACGGCCUUCAGGUUGUAAAUUUCUUUCGGUAGCGAGGCGUUAUCUACAGAAGAAGCACCGGCUAACUCCGUGCCAGCAGCCGCCGUCAUUC
rnacentral:rRNA from 1 species